CAGUCGCCGCGGGAAUACGGAGGGUGCAAGCGUUAAUCGGAAUUACUGGGCGUAAAGCGCACGCAGGCGGUCUGUCAAGUCAGAUGUGAAAUCCCCGGGCUUAACCUGGGAACUGCAUUUGAAACUGGCAGGCUAGAGUCUUGUAGAGGGGGGUAGAAUUCCAGGUGUAGCGGUGAAAUGCGUAGAGAUCUGGAGGAAUACCGGUGGCGAAGGCGGCCCCCUGGACAAAGACUGACGCUCAGGUGCGAAAGCGUGGGGAGCAAACAGGAUUAGAUACCCGGGUAGCCCUGUCUCUUAUACA
rnacentral:rRNA from 1 species